GUGAUUAAAGUGACGCAACAAGGGGGCGGGACCAGCCGGUGGAAGGGAUGCACUUCAUUGGGUGAAUGAGCUCAACUAAUCGCUGCCUCCCUGCGACUGGAGAGGAGGCCGUGACCCUUCAGCCGCAUGCAGGGACAGAGUUAUGUGUAUGCUGUAAAUAAUGCUGAUGCUUAAAAAUGGACCACUCAAAACUAUUGUGUGAUGUAAUUGAAAUAGUGAUUAAAUAUCGCAUUAGAGUAAUGACUUCCUCUCUGAACACACCUGACUGAGCACCAGGUAUCCAUCAGACAAGUAAGAAGGUUCGUCUAAUAAUGAAAUAAUAAUAGUCUCCCACAUUUGAACUCCAGAUUGUUUUUUUCCCACCUCCUGAUUCAAGACGUCACGGCAACAGAGGAAAGCAGGUAAGGUUGCCCGAGAACAUGCCGGGCUAAUAAUAAUAAUAAAGCCUGUAAUGAUCACACUCUGUUUGCAGUGAGCCGGAGCUCUGGACACACGGCACGCCGAGCGGAGGCUUACCGGACUCCUCUACAGGGGAGCGCCGCGAGGCAGCGAGGGACGAGACAUGGAAGAGAGAGCUGGAUGAUAUUUCAAGAUUGAAAUCUCGUCAAGCUUCUCCAAAGGACUAUGGGGGAUAUCCUGAUGCUCUUUUCCCGUUAACGCCUCCUCGGAGAGACUGCUAACGAAACUAUAGUCGUCAUAACUGGGACUACAGAUGCAAAUGAGCUGAAGCUACAAUCUGGUACAGAGCAUCAACUGCACACGGUCCCUUUAGAAGAAGAAGAAGAACGUUAUUCAUCAAUGUUUUGAUGAAACACUGUAAAAUAAAAGAUAACAAUCUACAAACUAAUCUAACGUGACCAUAGAAGAAUCGAAGAAGAAGAAUCGAAGAAGAAGAAGAAGAACCUCCAUCGUUCUGCUCGGAAGACGUAGAGUGAGUACAUGUGACGCGAGAGGGAACUAAACACACACAACUUGUCAGAAUCGGCCUGUAAAUCUACUGUAUCUUCUGUGUGUGUGUGUGUGUGUGUGUCAGAAACACACAAAGGGCAAAGGCCAAAACUGCCCCCAAGAAAUAUAAUGUUUCCCCUGAUGUCACUAGAGGGGCAACACCCCAUGAUGUCCUCUAAUAAUUAGGAUAAUUUAAUUGCGUUUUGUAUUGUUGUGUGUGUCCUGUAUUAAAAUAUAAUUUUUGAAUAAAGAAAAUAAAAAAAUA